rnacentral:rRNA from 1 species
UACGUAGGGGGCAAGCGUUGUCCGGAAUCAUUGGGCGUAAAGCGCGUGUAGGCGGUUCGGCAAGUCUGCUGUGAAAGUCCAGGGCUCAACCCUGGGAUGCCGGUGGAUACUGGCGGACUAGAGUACGGAAGAGGCGAGUGGAAUUCCCGGUGUAGCGGUGAAAUGCGCAGAUAUCGGGAGGAACACCAAUUGCGAAGGCAGCUCGCUGGGACGUCACUGACGCUGAGACGCGAAAGCGUGGGGAGCAAACAGG